AGCCACCUGGGGACCGGCCUCUUGUCCCAGGCAACGAGAGGACGUAGUCACAGGCUGCACAGGGGGGUUCAGGCUGGACAUCAGCAGGAAUUUUUUCACAGAAAGGGAUUAGCCACGGGAACGGGCUGCCCAGGGAGGCGGUGGGGUCACUGUGCCGGGGGUGUUUAAGGGAAGGCUGGGAGCGGCACUCAGCGCCAUGGGCUGGCUGACACGGUGCAGUUCGGCCUCAGACGGCACUCCAUGGUCUCAGAGGGCUCUCCUAAACCUCACUGAUUUGGUGAUUCUGUGAAAUUGCUUGGCACAAUUACAGUCAGCAGUGACGUGAGGAACCAUCGGAUGCCAGCAGAUGUGGACACCGCUCAGCACAGCUGUGUGCAAGGCCACUGCACUGCCGUGUGUGCGGCAGGAUCGCCAGGCUUCUUCACGUUCUUCUGCUCUGCAAUGUGUGUGGGGGCAGUGGCUGGCUGUUCAAAUGGUUUUCCUGCCUCCAUCAUGACAGCACCAUCACUGGGAGAAGGCUUUGAUUUCCUAGAGAAAUGUGGUCGCCUUGUUGCUUUGUGUGUCAUCUUUUCCAGCUGCUCCUGGCUUCUGAGCAACUACCAGGCUCCCAAACCCCACUUUCUGAUGCAGACCAAAAAAGGCCCACAACCCCAGCAUUGUACUCUUUGAGCUGGAAACUCCUCCGUGACUAGGAACCAGGGCUGCCCAUGGCCAUGACCUCUCCUGCUGGCUGACAGGGUGGGUAGUGUUUGCAGUGUGCGGCCCCGUGAGCCUCCUGCCUGCAUACCUCAAAACACUGGCUGGGCUACCAGGGGAAAGAGUGUGUUGUUAAUAAUCAUUUUAUAGUCCCGGGUCUAAGAUGUGAUUUAUUUAUGAGGGGAAGCUGAAUGAGAAAUGCAGUCCUUCAGGUGGGAGCUCUGUGAAGCAAAGACUGACAUCCCGACCCUGGCCGCUGACUGGAGUUUUACAUCAGUGAAGCUCCAGAAUUGAUGAGCCACACCCUGGUCUCUGCACGAAGAGCUUGCUGGGCUCGGCAGUGCUCCAGCACUUGGCUGUGGCUGCAGGUGAUACAGGAAGAUGGACCCAAACUCUUCUGAGGGUUUUUUGCACAGCUAAAGACAAGAGGAAGGGGUUGCGAGUUGCAGGAUGGAAUUACAGUGCAACACGAGGAAUAAAAAUCACACUCAGGGUGGGUAAGCACUGUUUCUUCAGCCCAGAGAAGUGGUGCAAUAUCCAUCCCUAGAGACAGUGACAAUUUAGCUGGGCAGAUUCUGUCAUGUCCUGAAAGAGACCCUGCAACACAAGCAAAGGGUUCACCCCGCAGAACCCUCCCCAAAGCUGGCUGCUAAAACAGAGAGCUGGCCAAACAAAUGUCACACAGGCAGAACUCGAGCCCGCUGUCCGCCCCUCGCCCCGGCGGGACUGCUCCGUGCUGCGGUGUCCGUGUGUCCCGCUCUGUCCCCGGGGCUUUGCAGGGUGUCCCCCGCCGGGCUCCAUUUCCAAGGCUGGAGUGUCGCCGUGUGGUCAGUGCCCGGAACUGCUGCUGCAGGAGCGGGCCUGGAUUCAGGGUUUGCGAAGGUGAGAUGUUUCUCCUAUUUUACAGCAAAGGGGGAAAAAAGGUUUUCCACACACAUAGGAGAACACCUGUAUAACGUGAAUAAUUUCCUUGCGCCCAAAGGGAUUGCUCAGAGCCCCCUGGGCGCUGGCUGCAAAUCAGACUGGCUAAAAGAAGUUGCAGGACCUAAUUUCUCCUUCUGCCCACUUCUGCUACUAGAGCUGCAAGGAGCUGAACAAGCAGUGAAUGUUUCCUUUGCUGGCAGCUCCUGCCAUUCAAAAGAAAGACAAUAAGCACCACUCGCCUGAGGUGAAAGACUAGACCUGCUGACACUGACAAGGCCAAAACCUGUAGGUGUGAUGAGCCUUGUUUUGUGCUGCUCCAGUGAAGUGUGCACGUUGUGCAUGUCCUUCAGUACAUCCCCGAAGCAUCGCCUUUGUACACGUGUGCUGGCUGACCCUGCCCUUUGUGCACAGCUGCCCCAAAGUGUCCAAGAUUGAUUGGAUUCUCUCUGGGUGAGGUGGAGAAUGAAUCUGCAUGCCCUAAAGCCAUGUCUGUUUCAGUAGUAGUAGAAAUCCAUUGCCUGAUCGCCUCCUCCCAAGGGGAGAAGUAAUGAAUUGCUGAUGAAAAUGGUUACCUAAAAUCCAAACUGUAAGGUUAGCCAGAAUUUAAAAAAAUCCCAGGAAGCGGUUUCUUUUCAGGAAUAGGUCUGAUUAAUUUUAUGAAAAUUUUGAAAUGCAGCUUUCUCUUGAAAAUUGGGCACAUUGCUUACAGUCUACAGUAUGGCUUUAAUCAAGAGGGCUUAGUUUGCACAUACAGAGAUUUUUCUGUCCCCAAGUACACAAUCCAUGAAAAGUUUGACUCUAAGAGUCGAAACUCCCUUCUACCUGUCUUUCAUCACGUGUAAUAAGGAGUCUGCUAGCAGAUCACACGUUGCAUGACUGGUUAGCUUCUUGGCACUCAGAUGUAUUUCUGUGUACUGGGGCUGUGCUGAAUCUCAUGUUUCUGGCUGCUUUUCUGCUACUGUUUUCAGUGUCAACACGACUAACUCUGCACUAACAUCCUCCUUGAUUGCCCUGUUGUCUGUUUUUGGGGGAACUUUCAGUGAGUAAGUGUGGGCAGUGUAUUCCCUGCCCAUCACUGCACAGCCUGCCUGCCCUAUCCCUACCCCACUCCUGCUGGGUGCUGCCAACACCUGCAGCAGCCUCUGCAUGGGGCAGUGGGACACAGCCCUGUUGGGGUGGAAUAGGGGACUGCUUUCACUGGGUGUUUUCACUGUCCUUCCUCUGAAAUUUCCUGCAUUUAGGAUUCUCCAAGGUUUAUCCAGAGGGAAGUUGGGGGAAAUAGGCAAUGCUCUGUAGUAGAUGUGUUGUAUUUCCACAUGCACCAAACAUGUUUCAGUGCCCCUGGACUUCGUCCCCACAGAUUUCUUCUCCCAGACAAGGAGAUAGGUCUCAGGGGCAUCUGGUGCAGAUGCUACCUCUGUGAAAGCAUUACUCCCAAAAUCAGUACUUGCAACCUGAAAAACCCUAAAGGCAACCUAAAGUCUAAUGGGUUUUCUGAGACCCUGCAGGUGGAAAGUGUGAGCUAUGGCUUGGCUGAUCAUUUUUUAUUUGUAAGGCAACUUUUAGCCUUUCCAAUCCAUGGCAUGACUACACUCUUUUGCACAGUCCAGGGGGACUACUGGUCUGGCAGGGUGCUAUCAAGGCUUGUGGUCCUUGGGAUGAGCCCAUGGGAUGUUGAGCUCCACAGCGGGAUAGCAACAGGGCAUAUGGGGACCACAUCUCAUGAGCAGUAGUAGAGUGAGGGGUGGGAAACAGGCAGAGACUUGCCCUCAUUAUGCAUGGGUCUAACAUGCCCAAUUACCCCAUCCUCUCCUCACCUCUGCAAUGUAAAAGACUGUUGUUGAGGGUGGUCAUAACUCAUGGUGAACACCCUGCCUCCCCCUUACUCCUUUCACACCCACUGCUCUCCAUUUUCCUUCCAGAAAAAAAAUGUGUCUUUGAUGAAAUGAAAUGGCUCAGUCAAAGAACCCCUCAAAUGCUUGGGGACCCCUGCAGUUGGCCACCCUUGCCCACUUCCCAGCUCUAUUUCUGGCCGAGUUUGGAGUUUAAGUGGGCUGACCUUGUGCCCUGACUGCCCUGGGGGUCAGUGAUGAAAGCGGAUGGAGGCUUCACAGUCAGGUCUCUUGUGUGUGACUCUUUUGUUCCCAGGACAAGGGUGUGCAGUGCCUGGGACAGUGCUUAAUUGUUUGGGGGCACUGCUUUACCCGUCAUGCCCUUCCCCGGGUGGCCCCAGCCCUUCUUGCUCAUGCGUGGGAGGGAGGCAGCUUCCCCACUCAGGGUAAGGAGGAGGAAGCAGAGUCUGGAUUGCUUGGGAUCAUUUCUGGCUGUUUAUCAAUCUGUGUCAUAAAUUCUGCAGAGUGCCAGAAAGCAGAAAGAGAAAUAAAGUUAAAAAAAAGGACUUCCUGGCAUUUUGUGACUCCUGUCUAUCACUGGGUGUAUCUUUCAUUGUCCUUCUGUGCAAACAAGAGCAACAUCACCUUGUCCCAGCCAGCUCCUGUGUCCAUGGGAUUCACCCCAUCACUGAGACCUCCCUCUGCCCUUCUACAGAUCUGAGCUGGACACCACACUUGGCACUGCCCUGAAGACAUGCAGAGGAGUGGUAGGUUUUCUGUAGGUGUGCUUGGACAGGAGAAGGAUGCUGGACAACCUGUGGGCAUGAUGAUAAAGAAUUGAAAGUUUAAAAAGCCUUGCCUGGUGGAGGUGGGUCAGCAGAGCUCAGCACAAUCAUGAAGCAAGCCUUGUACCACUCAAUACCUCUUUGGCUGCCCCCUCAGCAUCUUUCUUUUCCCAACGAGUCCUUCCUCUGUGCUUCACAUCUUCAUUAGAGCUGGAGACUGGGGCAGGAGCCUCCACAGCAGGCCCUCCCCUCUGCCAUUUCGGGGAGUGACUGUGCAGAGGAAAUGGAUAAAAGGAGCCCAGGGUCAGGGUUUAAUUACCCCAUUGCGUGCAGAGACGAGUGAUGGACAGAGACUGUCAGUGGGUCACUGAUUAGCUGCCACAGAGCAGACAGAGGAGGGGGGAAAUGUGAUGAGCUCCUGGGACAGGCCAGUGCUGGGGAGAUCUGUGAGACAUGGAGAUGGCAGCUCGUUGUGAAAGACACUUUUUCUUUUAGUUGUUUCCUCGGUCUUUCAUCCCACUAUUUGUCCCAGAUCCAUCAGGAGUCCUGUGGGCUAAACAGUCUCCUGCUGUGCCGUGGCUGCUUUGCUGGCUAGGGACAAGUUGCUGCUGAGGUGGCAGGUCCCCUGGGGAGAUGGAGAAGAAGGGAUGUCUCCUGCCAGCUGUGGCGAUCUCUUGUCUCCCUGUGGCAAGAUUUGGUGACCUGGUUCUGUGUAGCAAUAUGCAGAAGAAGCAAGUUUCAGCAAGUCUUAACUCUUCUGCUCCUAAUCCCAGAGGUAAUUCUGCCUCCUUUCCUUCUCAUCCUCAUAUCAAGCCCUUGUUCCUCAUCCCACCAUGCUGUCUCUGAGCCCAGCCUCCCUUUUCCUACAUUUAGACAACUCAAGUCAACUCAUAUCCCUGCCCCUGCCCUCGAGUCCUGCCAUACAGUGUCACACCUCACACACAAUCUUCUUCCACCAGUCCUGUUACCUUUGGGCUCAAGACUCCUCUUUCUUCUCUACAAUCCCUAUCACACACCCUCUUUUGGAGUCUGACCUUCAGUUUCUACCUCCAUACACAGUGGUCCCCCAAGGUCCUGCUUCCCAUGUUCACUCUCCCUGUCAUUCCUACCCUUUCCUCUCCCAUUCUUGCUUUUCCUCACUCAUCCCUUAUCCCUCUUUCCUGUCCCCUUCACCCCUGAUCUCCCAGGGUUGUUUGCGUUGAUCGUUUCUGGAAUCAUGAGAUCACUGUUUUUUUCUGUCGCUCUCAGUGGGAACAUCACAUUAAGGAGCGUGGAUAAGUGACCGGGGGCCAUUGGGGUGACUCUGGCACCCCCUCUCCCCACUGUCCCUACCCCCUCUUCUUCUGUAUCAAAGGAAGCUUUGUUGUCCAAAAGCAGAAAGAGAAAAGCAGAUAAAAAGGCGGAACAUGUGAUCUCAUUGGCUUUAUUUAGACAUCCAGCUAUCCCUCCUCUCUUCUUGAUUCAUCCAAAAUUAUCUAAGUAAGAAUCCAAAAUCCAUCCUUGGGCUUCUCAUUUCUGAAAGCGAUGGUGGUAGAUUCUUUUUUCCAAAGGGGCUCCAACAGCUGACCUCUUGGUCUCCACAAGGUGCAAAGAUGACCCUGAUGGGGCUCUCUAGACACUGUAAUGCCUUUGAUUAGAGUCUUCACAUCAGGAGUGUGGCAUCCCACCAUGUGAAGGAGAGUUGAAGAAGGGAGAAGCAAAGCCUUUUCCUUAAAGUUUCACCAUUGUUUAGUGAACAAUUCCAAGAGUAUCCAGCAACACAUGGCUCCAUUGCAGCAGGAGCACUGCUUGGUGGGGAGGUUUAAAUUUGCAGCGUUAGAUGCACAACAUUUGAAUUAACAAGUUUCUGGAUCUUGCAGGGACUUGGGGUUUUUUGGUUUUUUUUUUGACAAGGGCAAAAUUCUUCAUCUUGGGGUGCUUUGGUUGUCUUUAGUGAUGGAGAUGAUCAGCAAGUGAGCACCCUGUACGACAGAGCUACUGUGGGAGCGGCGGAGCACAGCUGAGGUUGCAGGAAGGAUCUCUGUGUCUUUGCUGGGAUUCUUUUAGAUGCUAUCGAGCCAGGAGGCAGGAAAAAGGAUUAUUAUGUAUUCCUUUGUUGUUACAUAUUGAGAGAGUUUGAGGCUUUCCAGUGAAAGCUGCCCUGCAUGCUGAUUUUAAACAGUAUGGUUGACUAAGCAAAAAUCCUUAUUGUGGGCAGAGCUGUACGAAUAUAAAGAGUUGGUCAGUGCAUCGUUUUCAUGAUGUUUUAACCAGCUUGGUUAAAAUCCACCAGACAAGAAGUCCUUCUAAUAUGGGAAUAUAAUGGCCCUUUUAUCUGUAGUCCAUUCCCCUUCUCUACAGGAGUAAAAAUCCUCUGCAUAACGCCUUGCAUCCACAGCUUUGUAUGCGUGUGUGCGGGAUGUGGCUAAGGCUGAAAUUUAAUGAUUGUUUCCAAAGUAGCGAAGGCAAUAAAUGGGAGAAGAGUGCAGAAAGCUUGGCAGAUGGAUGCAGGCAGCAUAUGCCGUGUUCAUCAAACACAUGACAAGGGCUGAGAUCGACUCAGGACAAAGGGUGGUCACAGGAGUGAAGAGGGUCCGUAGAGAAGAAGGUGAGCAGAAAGGCAGAAAGAUUUGCAUCAGGUGAGAAUGAAGAAUUUUAUUUUGUUGUAGAACACAGUAUCAGUGAAGUAUAUACCCAAAUGCUAUGAAAGGAAGGGAGGUGGGAAUUUGGUUAAGGAAUUGUUUCUGUUGCAGAAAGGUCACUGUAGAAGUUGCAGUGACUUUGGCAUCAUGUGAUCUUUUACAGCUCUGUGUACGUGUAAGGUGACUCAGUGAAGCAGUAUGUGCAAGGAGACUAUAGCUGGAAGGAUGCCUGUGGGAAUGCCUGAAGUAUAAUUUCAAUGGGGUGUGGGAAGACAGGAUGUUCAUGGGGAUUUGCCACAACUUUUCUGUGGUGAGAGAUCACGCACAAGAAGAUUUACAGCAACAGUGCAGGGAAACUAUGUGACACUACAACCCAUCCAACAGAGAGUGUCAGCUCCAGCUUACAACCAACUGAAUCAGUAAAUGUGGAGGCAAGAAAGAGACUUUUUUUUUUUGUCCUCCCAUGUGUUUUUUAAUAAAUGCCAAGUUCCCAUAAAAAUUUAGACCCAUUGUAGCUGCCACUUGACUUCUGUCAGUUCUGGGUCCCUAUCAUUUGAUUUUCCUGAAACAGGCACCAUGAGUCAAUUUGCAAGAUAUUUCCAUUAGCAUGUUGGGUUGAUUCAACUUAUAUCCUGCCCCGUUGUGUCUGACUCAUUCUUCCCCAUCUCUAAGAGAAGCCCAGUGGAAGCAGAGGGGCCUUCACAUAGAUGCUCAAGGUCUCUAUCAGAUAAUAGGUGAAGAAAUAUUUGCCAUGACCAAGCUAUGGUCAUUUUUUGCCAUUCCUUAGUCACUUGGCAGCCAAUGGAGGGAAGAGGCGAGAGCAGGGUGGGGGAGAGUAAAUGAGACAGAGAGACGAGAACAAAAGAUUCUUUUGUGGUACAGAGAGAGAGAAAAGGGAAAGCAUCACCAAAUGCCCAGAAGCCAUGUUUGUAACAAGAGACCUAUUCUCUCAGCUACUUGGAAAACAACUUGGAGUAAAAGGCCCUGGUUGAAUUAACCCUUCAUGGAGGUGAUUUACUGAGUGUGAAGGAAAGAGGCAUGGCCGCGGGAGAUAUGAUCUGUGUGGAGAGGUAGCAGUCUUGACUCUUGGGUAACUUAAAAACAGGAUUGGUUGUCUGGGAAGAGGAGCUAGGGAUGGAUGGUGUUGGGUGAUUUGGCCAUACUGAAGUUUUAAAAUGUCAGAUAUCCUUUCUUCAUUGGACCUUUGGUUUGGGAGCAGAUCACCAGAGGGGUUUUUGCAGCAUAUCAGGUGAUGACUUUUUGAUCGAUGUUUUUCCUAGGGAUGCUAUGGAGUAAGGAAAACACCACCCCUAAAAUAUACAGCUUACUGCAGCAUAAUCUUGUCCCAUCACAGCCUCUGUGAAUUCAGGUUCUAUUGCUGGCCUUCAAAAACCCUCUCCUCACACAUUGUGUAUCUCUUGCUCAUGUUUUGGUCCUCUCUUUGACUGAGAAGAACAGUUUUACUGGAGGUAGGGGUUCUCUGUAAAACUGAAACUAUGCCAAAUCAUCAAUUUCCAAAUAAACAACCACUUUUAAUUUGUUGUCAUCGUUCCCUCCCUUAGCCUCCUCCACAUUAUUUAUAAGGAAUUUUCCUCUUUAAUUGAGUGGAUCUCUGGGCAAAAGAAGACUCUAGGCUGAUGGUACCAGAAAAAGCUCCAGUCAAGGAAAGAAAAUCUGAACCUAUUUGAAGAUAAACAUGGAAUAUCAGCAUAUGCUGUGUGAGUUUAACUGCAAGCUUGCUUCUGGGUGCCCUAAAGAAGCGAGACAGAUCUCAGAGAAAGCUUCCUCCCCUCAUAAAAGUGCAGGAGGGACAGCAACCUGCCUCUGGAUCCUCCUGACACAGUGCCAGGCAAAGGGCUGCAAAGAGCAGUGGAAAGACAUUUCUCCUCUCUGCUUCAUCGUCUCACCAGCUCAGCAGCAGUGUCCUCCCAUCAUGGGUCACCCAUCCCCCUGGCCUGAUGGUGCAGA